ACAAAGGCCAACUUAAUGGAAUCAUCAGAAGUGGAGCCUCUAUCACUAUCAUUGGGCCUUUCACCGUCUUUCAAACCAACAAACUCUGACUUAAUAGAUGAACUUUGCUUACGCAUUAGCAUGGUUGAUGAUGUCCAGUCAUUGGAUACCGAAUGGGUGAUAAGCUCUAAUCCUUAUCCAAUUAGAUUAACUCUAAGACAGAUAAGGAACAUAUUGAAGGUGGAUGAAUAUAUGGACGCAAAUUGCUUUAACAUGGCUGUGCGGAUACUAGCAUGCCAUGACAUCCAGCUUGUUAGAGAUAUUCCCGUUCAUUACAUGGAUCUGAACUUUUGUUGGAUGUCCCAAUAUGCACGAGAUCCAAGGCGCAAUGAAAAGUUGGAUAUUACUAAGUUG